rnacentral:lncRNA from 1 species
UCUGAGGUCAUGAGAGGGGCCUCAACAGGCUUUCCAGCAGCAGGAAGACAGCCUCCCUGGGGAAAGAGCCGCUCCUCACACGCUUUGUUGAUAAUAAAGAAAAUGAGAGAGCAGUGGGGGAGGUGUGAUGGCCCCAACUUUGCCAGGUCUCCUCCGAGGUGCUGGUGAGGGUUUGGGGAGCGGGGGACCCAUGAUUUGGUGCUUUCGGAUGCCUGGGGCAGGGAGGCACGGGGUGUUAGAGGUUCCCUCCCUCUCUGCCUCAGCGCCAAUCUCAGGAGCACUCCGACACUCUUCAAUGUGGAGGGACCAACGUUCAGGUCCUGAGAACCCGAACUGGGCACCUCCCUGUCUCACCUGCACAUCAGAACUGCUGGGGCAGUGGUCCAGGCUGGCCACCCACUGGACAGGGACGCCACCUGCAGGUAACAGGCAUUCACACUGUGUCCUUGUAGCCCAUGGCUCCUGGGGGGUGCUGUGUGUCGGGUUCCUGCAGCGGGUGCCAGGCCUGCUGGUGGCCACAGGUUCCCACAGCAGUAGCAUCUUCCUCAACACCUGCGGCACAUCACUGUUGAGGCUCCGCCCCCGCGCCCCGGCCCUGGAGUGUGGUUUCCACUCGCCUUCCCCGCUCCCAGAGGCGGUUCCAGGACACGGCUUAGAGAUGGCGAGGCGUUGACAGCACCCCGGGGUAGGCGUGACGGAGCCCAGUUAAGGCCUCUGCAUGAACUUUGAAGAUCUGGUGCACUGGUGUGGGGUCCGUUCAUCUCCUGUGUAAGUUCCCUUGUUUAUGAAAUCUGCCCGCCGCCAGCCUGGAGCGUCCUGCCUCUUUCUUCUGUCUCUCCUGCCCUCCGCGUUUGGGAUGGCUUCGGGGUUCAGCAGGGAGGCUUCUGAGCAGCUGGUGCGCCAACCGUCACCACGGGGGGUGACACUGGCGCUCGGUGUGUUCGUUCUGUCAUUUUAUCCCGCGUGUGGUUCCUGUGACCACCCUGCAGUCAAGAUGCGGGCUGUUCCGCCCCUCAGAGACCCGUCUCGCUGCCCCUCUUCGGCACCCCCACCGUCCCUAACCCCUGUCAACCACUCUUGUCAGUUCUCCACCUCCAUAACGCUGUCAUUUCAAGAAUAUUAGGUAAGUGGGACCACAGCAUAUUGGGCUGGAUUUUUGAGAUUGGAUUUUCUUCACCCAGCAAAUGACCAUGCGAUCCAUCCAAGUUGCAUCCAACUUAUACACAGGUGAUUCCAAAGCGUCUCUUAGCUUUUCCAACAUGGUACAUAAGUUCAGUUGGGUUUCACCUUGUAACACCAAGUCUAAGAAGUUUCCUCUUGUGAACAAUGGUUCCACGGCAAAGCUGACCCUCUCAUUGGAUGAGUUCUCUUCUGCAUUACAAACGUAGGAUGUAUCCUGAUUCCAUCUCAAUGCCACAAACAUUCUUGCACGGCUUGUUGACUCUUCCAACCUUCCCCAUACUGAAUUUGAAAUCUCUGCAGGGUAGAAAGGAGUCCAUGCAGGGACAGAGCCAGCCCAUCAGGCCAAGGCGGUGCCCCUGACCCCGAGAUUUCUGCGGGAUGCUGGCGGGAUCCUCUCCCUGACCAUGGUGGGUUUCUAGGUACCUCCAUGUCCCACAUUGUGUUGGUCCCUACGGCCUGCAGAGAGUGACCCCACAUGACUGCUGAAUGGGAUUUUGUAUUUUUGUGGCCCUUAAAGAUAGUCAAGUAAAUGUAUUUUUUGUUUUAGUCUAGAGAAUUUUAACUUGAUGGGCUCCUUAAGAGAUGUCCUUAUAUACUUAACCUAAUAAAAUCUUGCAUUCUUUCA